AACGAACGCUGGCGGCGCGCCUAAUACAUGCAAGUCGAGCGAGAAGACGUAGCAAUACGUUUGUAAAGCGGCGAACGGGUGAGGAAUACAUGGGUAACCUACCCUCGAGUGGGGAAUAACUAGCCGAAAGGUUAGCUAAUACCGCGUACGCUCCUUGGACUUCGGUUCAGGGAGGAAAGCGAUACCGUGGGUAUCGCGCUCAUGGAUGGGCUCAUGUCCUAUCAGCUUGUUGGUGAGGUAACGGCUCACCAAGGCUUCGACGGGUAGCUGGUCUGAGAGGACGAUCAGCCACACUGGCACUGCGACACGGGCCAGACUCCUACGGGAGGCAGCAGUAAGGAAUAUUGCGCAAUGGGCGAAAGCCUGACGCAGCGACGCCG
rnacentral:rRNA from 1 species